rnacentral:tRNA from 1 species
GUAAAAAUAGUUUAUGUUAGAAUAAAAAGUUGUCGUCUUUUAGGAAUUGCUAGGUUGGUUUUUUACU